GCGGGCAUGAUGAAAUUGGCAGACAUGCGAGAUUUAGGUUCUCGUGCUUUACGGCGUUGGGGUUCGAGUCCCCAUGCCCGCACCA
rnacentral:tRNA from 3 species